UAAGCACCACGUCAUCUCUGUGUCC
rnacentral:misc_RNA from 1 species